CUGACAACAGUAUUCUAGCGAUUUAUGGCCUUUGUAUUUGAAAGUCAAGCGAAACUUUACUUGUGGGCAUAUUAAACGCCGGAAGUUUUAUUGGGUUGGGAUAAAACGCGAAACCGGAAUGCGGAUUGCGGAAGCGGAUUCCGGAAGCGGAUUCCGGAAGCGGAUUCCGGAAGCGGAUUCCGUAAAUGAGGAUAAAACGCGCGGAAUUGAAGCAGAAUAAGGACGAGAAGCAUAAUAGGGUAAAUUAAGUUUGAUCACAACAUAAACUUAAUGCCAC